AUGGCUGGACCGCGAGGACGAAUGUGGGGAUGGAGGGAGGGAAACUUGAAAGACAAAAGGAGCCUGACCCGGACAGUUUAUGGGCGGCGAGGCAGCCUCUCCCUGCGCUGGUACCGCGCCAUCCUCCCCUCCGCGCCCGCCCCCGGCAGCUUCGAACUACCGCUUUUCUUGGCCACGAUUCCUGGCCUCUUUGCAGGGGGUAAGAGCAGCCCCCCUCCCGUGAGAAAUCUGCCUUGGAACUCUCUGCUUUCUUGUUGGCGGCAGCCUGGGGUUUCAGGAGUUGGGGAAUGGCGCGAGGGGAGGAAGCUGGAGGUUGGCACGUCUUCCCGCUGGCGCUGCCACCUUCCAUCCGCAACAGCUGGCACAGCCUCGGGCCUGAUCAUUAACCCAGGGAGGGGCCUGGAUUGGAAGAAUGGGCUGCUGGGCCCAAGCCAGCGCCGACACUGUAUGUGUGUGUGUGUGUGUGUGUGUGUCCGCACUCACGCGCUCCUGCCACCCCAUUCCUCCGUCGGUCUCACCCUGGGCAGGUGCCUGCAGGGGCCCGAUCGCGCCGUCCCCUGUAGGGGGCCAGGGAUCGGGGAGGCCUCCUCAGCCAGGACCAGGCUCCACCUGCCCUCCCCCAACCCAAGCCCUUGUGUUAACAAAGGAGGGUCGAGUAUCCCAGCCGCGGGGGGAGUCGGGCCACCGCCGGUGUGUGCGCGAUCACGGAUCAUUACAGCCGGCAGGGCGGCCGCAGCCGGGGCCUGGCCAGGGCCGAGGGCCGAGGGCCGGGGGUCGGGGGCGAGGGGUGCAGCCCGGAGCGCCCGCAGUGUUCGGCGCAGCGCCCCCACGCGGUCUCCCUGCUCCCGGCAGCUGGGGGCACCGUCCGGCGAGGGGGGGGGGGGGGGGGGGGGGGGGGGNNNNNNNNNNNNNNNNNNNNCGGGGGGGGGGGGGCCCGGGCGGGGGGGGGGGGGGGGGGGGGGCGCGGGUGGCGUUCCGGAUCCUCGGCUUGAGGCUCGGAUUUAUCAUCGAAAACAACAACAGUGA
rnacentral:lncRNA from 1 species